rnacentral:pre_miRNA from 1 species
UAUGGGCAAUACUAAAACUGGCAACUUGGCGAUGGACAUGUCACAAUGUCAGUUCUGCCGUGUUCGGCUGAUUGAGCCUGGUCUCAGACCUCAAUCAGCUCAAUCAGCCAAACACGGCAGAACUGGCAUGUCCAUCGCCAAGUUGCCAGUUUCAGUACUGCCCAUA